UCAGGUUGAGCCAAACAAGGAGAUUAUGCAAUCCAGAUUGUAGACUACGCGAAUUUCGUUGCAAGCCCGAAAAAAAGAAUAUUAUGCUUGUACUAAUAUAUUGGAUUUUUUAGCUGAACAAAAAUGCAUAUAAUCAAACAUGUAAAAAUAGUGAGGAUGAAAUCAAUAUUGAAUAUGAAACUAAAUAUUCCUAAUCAAAAUUUAAUAUUUGUAUAAAAAAUAGUUAAUACAAAGACAUAAUAAUAAUCUACUAAACACUGAAGGUUCUAGUCGCGGCCGAAUAUGUUACCAUUGUGACACAAAUAUCAAUUGUCAAAUAAUGCUCAAUAACUUGUUCCGACGCGAAUAUACUUUAAUCCGACAUUAUAAAAUAUAUUUUUUUGAUGACAUUUAGACUGCAGAUGUACCAAUGUAACAAAUUAUUUACACUAAAGUUAAGCAUUUUAUAAGUUCUCGGACCAAUUUGUACCCACCUAUCAAGUUAUUGUACUAGAUUGAGCAUUUUACAAGUUGUUGGAUCAAUAUACCCUACAUGAUAUGAUAAG
rnacentral:lncRNA from 1 species